CCAGGGGAGAGGAAAUGUGGCUGGAGGGCUGGGUAAUGAAGACACCCUCAAACCAUCGUCACUCAGUUUUGCGAGAUCAGGAUGCAGAAGAAAAGAAUGGAGGUGCACUGGCAUAGCUCUUGGUGAAACCUAACAGAACUUUCCUAUAUGCCUCUGCUCCCCAGAAGCCCCUCAGCCUUCAUCUUUGGUUCAGUUCCAGCAGCAUUAAAGCAAGCACCUGGCUGUACGCAACAGAAUUUCUGCCACAGUCACUCAGAUCUGCUCGGAGUUCAACUAGGUGGACAGUCACACAGGAUUUCCAAAAAAGGGGGAAGUGAACUGGAGUCUGAAAACAACAAGGAAAGGUGGUGCACAUCUGAAUCACAGAAGAGUAUGAGCUGUAGAGUAAAAUGUUUUGCCACCCACAUGGACCUAAGCAAAGAGAAAUCUAUGUAGUCAUAAUUUAGAACUGUAUCAAAAGCCCAUUGAAGUUACUGGAAGUUUUUCCUUUGCGGUGCAUACAAUGUCAGGCAGAAGAGUCAAGUUGUUACUCUGUAACUUGAAUUUCUGACUGUAGCAAACAAGCUGUCUAUGCACCUGAUUCAGAUUCCAAAUGGUCAUGUUCACACAUACAAUCAUUCCUUCAAAUCCCUUUUAAUUUAUUUACAAUCAUUUGGAGAGCCAUGUGUAUCUGAAACAGCCUGUUGGACAAAAAUACUAAUCUCCAGCUCUAAGAAGCUGUGGGAGUAUAGUGUGGUGACAGAACAAGAGCUGCUGGAUUUAAAUACAUCUGCCCUCUGUGUGUGAUUAUGUGUUAUGGUUUCUUUAAAUUAAAGUUAUUAGAGUGAAUGGUGCUGAAUAUAUACUUUAAACAAUUUAGAUGAAUAUAUUACAAAUACCUAUAAAAGAAAAUAUACGGUC